UAUCUGCAACGUUUGGUAACCUUCUUGUUCAGUCGACUGUCUAUUGACGUUUCGCAGUAGUGUUCACACUCCUUCAGGAUUACGAAAUCACUGAAAUUCGUGUUACUUUUAUCCACGCAGUUUCUGGCAAGCGAGCUGCAACAAAAUUUCUACGUUUACUUUCCUGUAUCAGGAUACUGAAACAUGAGUUGCAGCUCUUAAGUCGCAGUAGAUUGUCGCUUCCUCGAUGUUAGUGUCACAGUGGGGCCCACUAUAUGCUGAAAUGAAAAGUAAUGGAAAUGGAUUCCGAUUGUCAAGAUUUGCCAUUUGUUACGGUGGGAGAUAAUGAUUUGCUCUUUCAGAGCACAUGAUGAAAACAUACACAGGAUGGCAAGAGAAAGACAAUAAGGAAAGAAUGUUUAAUUACCGAAUAUCUCGCACGCUGUAAGAAUUAUGGAGAAUUUUUUUGGAUAAUUGUAAACGUUUUCUUAGAAGAAAUAUAGAAAAUGUCACAGUUUGCGCACCACCUGGCAGUUUUGAUGUGGAAGAUCCAGAAACAGGCAGGGUUUUGGAUGGCAGUUGGAGAAUGCCUCCGCAAAAUAAAUGUCUUCAGAGAAAGGGAGACAACGCAGGGAGAACCGCAAAGAAUAUAUGGGAUAAAUUUGCAGUCUACUUUUUAUCGGAUGUUGGUAAAGUGAAAUGGCAAGAAAAAUAUGAAUAAAUAAAUAUCGACUGAAAAGACAAAUGUAAUUAAAAACUUCGGAAAACACAACACUUAUUAACAAUG